rnacentral:rRNA from 1 species
CCUACGGGUGGCAGCAGUGGGGGAUAUUGCACAAUGGGGGGAACCCUGAUGCAGCGACGCCGCGUGGGUGAAGAAGCGCCUCGGCGCGUAAAGCCCUGUCAGCAGGGAAGAAAAUGACGGUACCUGAAGAAGAAGCCCCGGCUAACUACGUGCCAGCAGCCGCGGUAAUACGUAGGGGGCGAGCGUUAUCCGGAUUCACUGGGUGUAAAGGGAGCGUAGACGGCCAUGCAAGCCAGGGGUGAAAGCCCGGGGCCCAACCCCGGGACUGCCCUUGGAACUGUGCGGCUAGAGUGCGGGAGGGGCAGGCGGAAUUCCUGGUGUAGCGGUGAAAUGCGUAGAUAUCAGGAGGAACACCGGCGGCGAAGGCGGCCUGCUGGACCGCGACUGACGUUGAGGCUCGAAAGCGUGGGGAGCGAACAGGAUUAGAUACCCUUGUAGUC